UGGCUAGGUAAGUCCCUUGUUAAAUCCACCGAAUUAAUCGUUGGAUCGCGGGGGAUACUGCUUGGCUAGGGGACGAGAGAGGCAGACGGUAUUUUCGGGGUAGGGGUGAGAUCCUAUAAUCCCGGGAAGACCACCAGUGGCGAAGGCUGUCUGCUAGAACGCGCCCGACGGUGAGGGAUGAAAGCUGGGGGAGCGAACCGGAUUAGAUACCCGGGUAGUCCCAGCUGUAAACGAUGCAGACUAGGUGUUUGGACGGCCACGUGCCGUUCUAGUGCCGCAGGGAAGCUGUUAAGUCUGCCGCCUGGGGAGUACGAUCGCAAGAUUGAAACUUAAAGGAAUUGGCGGGGGAGCACCACAAGGGGUGAAGCUUGCGGUUUAAUUGGAGUCAACGCCGGAAAUCUCACCGGGAGCGACAGCAGUAUGAAAGCCAGAUUGAAGGUCUUGCUAGACGAGCUGAGAGGAGGUGCAUGGCCGUCGCCAGUUCGUGCCGUGAGGUGUCCUGUUAAGUCAGGCAACGAUCGAGACCCGCGUCCUCUGUUGCUACCAGCUUUGAGCUGGGCACACUGAGGAGACCGCCACUGAUAAAGUGGAGGAAGGAGCGGGCCACGGCAGGUCCGCAUG
rnacentral:rRNA from 1 species